rnacentral:rRNA from 1 species
UACGUAGGGGGCAAGCGUUGUCCGGAAUCACUGGGCGUAAAGGGAGCGUAGGCGGGUUCUUAAGUAAGGUGUUUAAUCCCGGGGCCCAACCCCGGACCGGCACUUUAAACUGGGAAUCUUGAAUAGUGGAGAGGUCGGUGGAAUUGGGGGUGUAGCGGUGGAAUGCGUAGAGAUCCCCAAGAACACCAGUUGCGAAGGCGGCCGACUGGACACAUAUUGACGCUGAGGCUCGAAAGCAUGGGGAGCAAACAGG